rnacentral:rRNA from 1 species
UCUUGGAAGUAAAAAGUAAAUCUACCAGAGUACUACGAAUUAAAAAUUUAAAACUCAAAGAGCUUGGCGGUGCUUUUAGACUUUUCAGGGGAACCUGUCUUAUAAUCGACAAUCCACGUCACACCUGACCUUUUCUUGCAUACAAUUUGUAUACCGUCGUCGUCAGGUAACUUUUAAAAACUUUAAUAGUUAGCAGAAAAGUUUAUAAUUAAUAAACUUAAACGUCAGAUCAAGGUGCAAUUAAUGAAAGGGGCAAGAUGGGUUACAAUUAUGAAAUUAUAAUACGAAAAACUAGUUGAAAUACUACUUUAAAGGAGGACUUGAAAGUAAAUCAUUUUAUAUAUAUUAAUUGAAUAAAGCUCUGAAGCGUGC